rnacentral:sRNA from 1 species
GCUGGGCACAUUGGCAUAUGCCUAUAAUCCCAGUAGCUCAGGAGGCUGAGGCAGGAGGAUCCCAAGUUCAAAGCCAGCCUCAGCAAUGGUGAGGCACUAAGCAACUCAGUGAGACCCUGUCUUUA